GAAACGAAAACAGGAAAUCAAAUAAUCAAUUCAAUCAUUUUGAAUUCAAACAUUCAAAAAAUAGUAAUGAAAUUAAAAAGGAACAGUGCAAUUAAGUAGGACGUAAAGUUCGUCAAUUCCCUUGUGUAUACGUCUUGACUAUAAUAUACAAAACAAAUCUCAAUAAUUUUCUAGCAAAAACAAUGUCACAAUGAUAAGACCAUAACGCAUUUGCUAAAAGCACUUUGUCUUUGUUCUGGAAUUGUUAUCCUUUCAUGGUAAACGGAAGUUACAUGGGAGAAGUAGACACAUAAUAUUCGUCAUAUAACAAUAUAGGGCCUAAGAUUCCUAUUGUAAACAACAUAACGAAAAUUCUUUGUCUUUUUAUUUUUAUUAAUAAAGAUAUACAACGCGUUAAAUAUAUCAUUUCUAUUACACAUUUAUUUAUCGAAAUCUGAUACCAUCUCGGUACGUCAAGCAGCAUUCGGCAUUUUCCUGUUGAAUCCACACAGCAUGGCGUUAUCAAAGCGCAUAGCUAGAUCGUGUAUUCAUCUUGGUGUCGUUCAACUGAUAUUUGGUUGUGCUGGUGUAGCAUGUGGGGCUGUAGCAAAGAGCAAAUUGACAGGCCCCGUGGGAGCAACUAUUGGAUUAUGGGCAGCAUAUUUCAUCGCUUUAGGCGUGAUUUGUCUUACUGCGGGAGUUUUUAAAGAAUCCAGAGUCGUAAGUUUUGACGCCAAAAAACAUACAACUUCGAUGAAUGAUGAUUGCUCGGCAAACGUCUAUUAACUUUUUUAAAGAAAAUUAACGGGCGGGUAACGAUGUCUUGGAUUUGGGAAAAUACUCCAUUUACAGCUAGGAUCACAACCAUUUGUGUGCGUUAAAGUUUUGCAUGGUGUUUGAAAAUAGACAAAAAAACUUCUGAUCUAUACGCGCCUUGUAAUAAGUUCAAUUUUUCUAAGCUUUUGGCUCGUGAGCCUGGACCAUCAUCAGAGAAAUGAUGUAGAUCACAAAUAUAUUUGUCUAUUCGCAACCUAUUUUUUUAAUUUAGGGGCGUCGGAAGCGGGGGGGGGGCUGGGCUUGCUCCGCGUUCGAUAUCAUUAUAAGAAAGGUCUAUAGAUGGUUUCGCCUAAAAUGGAAUGAAUUAUUCAAAGUUUAGGAAUGAGAAAAAUUUAUCUCCAAUACUCUUGGAUUUGCUCUUGUUUUUCAAGUCAUUGGCCUGUUCAUUGCAGCCGCUGGAAUAAUAAUUUCUGCCAUAUUUUGGACAUUUCUGAAUACUUGCUCGAGUUCGCUGGUUGUUGGUCCAGUUUUACCCGAUCACUGUCCUUGCGGGGUUGCUGCAGAUCUUACGGACUAUGACAUUAGUUGUUCUGAUCUGAGAACGGUGAGAAAUGUCACAGCUGCCUCCACAUUUAUCUAUUUGAUUUUGGAAAUCACUUCAUUCAUCGGUGUAAUCUAUGCUUGUGUUGGCAUAUGUUGUGCACCAAAGGAACCAAGGUCUGUUACUGUCACCACAGUUAAUUCACAUGGUGCAUCAAAUCCUGAGUCAAAACCGAUGAUUAUGACCAAAAUAUUUAGAAAGAAACAUCAACCACAGGAUGACAAAAAGAAAAAUCGCAAGCGUUGAGAAACUCCUCAAUCACAUGCAUGACUGACAAACUACACUCACACGAGAUAGUCACUCUUUCGGGGUAAACACAACUUUAAUAUUCUCAAAUGUAUUUCACUAUAAAUUUGAAUGUGUUAUGUGAUAGACGACAUUAUAAUCUCAUUUACAAACUCAUAAUCAUAGUUUCGCAAUUAAGACUGACCGAUUAAAGGAGAAUGAUAUAUAAUCUAUAUAUAAGCUACCAAGUCUUUUAAACAUGCAGGUUGUGUCUAUUUUGUCUAUUCCGUAUUUGCUGUAUUAGUUUAUUCAUAGACUAUAUACUGAGCUUGAUAUAUUGUUUUGCAAAGAUAAAACAGACUCCGAAAAGCUAUCACACCAUUGCUUUACAGUACUGUCCAGAAAUAACCUAACACUGCGGUUCGGUUGCGGUCGCCUGAUAGAAACCGCAGACAACUGCAAGUGAAAAAAUACCUUCGCAGUGGCGAACGAAACGUUAUGAACGGCUGAGAAGGACAACACAAUAACCAAAUCGAAAAACUCUUAAGAAAUGUUUAUCAGACCGAGUUAGGCCGAGGUUUAACCUCCAUCUCACCGGGGUUGGACCUAGAUCUGUCCUCGGUUCAACCGUGAUCGGACCGAGGUUUGACCUAGGUUAACUGCUGUUUUUGUUAAGUUAUUUCUGGAGAGUACUGUACCUUGAAAAGGGUUGACUUUGUAAAGUUGAAAUUUGAAGUUUGAUUAAAAAAAUUUCAAUUCAAAGCUUCAAAGUCGAAUGCAAAUAUUCGCACAUUCAAAGAAUAACAUUUGACGUUUAGUCCCUGAACUCUGAUGAUUUUGUACUGUUUUGACGUUUUGAAGGUUGAAUUUUUAACCAUUAGUAUUACUCAUUACUAAGCUGUAAGAGUCCAUAAAUUGUAACUGGGGCAUAUAGACUAAUAAAUUUCUAAGCUGAAGCAGCAGAAAAACGGGUGAUGUUAACUUCAGUUUACGACC